AUUGAACGCUGGCGGCAGGCCUAACACAUGCAAGUCGGGCGAGCGGCGGACGGGUGAGCAAUGUAUGGGGAUCUGCCCGAUAGAGGGGGAUAACUACUGGAAACGGUGGCUAAUACCGCAUACUACUGUAUGAACCCACAUGGGAUUAGCUAGUAGGUGGGGUAAAGGCUCACCAAGCGACGAUCAUUAGCUGGUCUGAGAGGAUGAUCAGCCACACUGGGACUGAGACACGGCCCAGACUCCUACGGGAGGCAGCAGUGGGGAAUAUUGCGCAAUGGGGGCAACUCUGACGCAGCCAUGCCGCGUGAAUGAAGAAGGCCUUCGGGUUGUAAAGUUCUUUCGGUAGCGAGGCGUUAACUACAGAAGAAGCACCGGCUAACUCCGUGCCAGCAGCCGCGGUAAUUC
rnacentral:rRNA from 1 species